ensembl:ncRNA F52F12.17 ncRNA
GACUACCGUAUCGAUGGAAUAGUGGGUGAUUAGAAGAGACACAGACAUGGCAGAUGCUCGAGUGCCUUUUUUGAUGGCUUGUGCGUACUACGCAAGAAUGGGACAAGAAUCAAGGAAAGAGCAAUCUUA